UUUAGGAUUGUAAACUCCUUUUGUAAGAGAAGAUUAUGACGGUAUCUUACGAAUAAGCACCGGCUAACUCCGUGCCAGCAGCCGCGGUAAUACGGAGGGUGCAAGCGUUACUCGGAAUCACUGGGCGUAAAGAGCGCGUAGGCGGGAUAGUCAGUCAGAUGUGAAAUCCUGUAGCUUAACUACAGAACUGCAUUUGAAACUACUAUUCUAGAGUGUGGGAGAGGUAGGUGGAAUA
rnacentral:rRNA from 1 species